rnacentral:lncRNA from 1 species
CUAGAGAGCCACUUGAGAUAUCUUGUGCUGCGUACUUUUAAAUUAUUCUUGUUUUAUGAAGAUUUGGGCAAGCCACUCUCUUUUCACCUCACAUCACGUGCACGCUCACGCGUACGUGUAUGUUGUCAUCUUGCAAGUUGGAUACACUGCUCAUACCUACCAGCUUGUGAUCAUGACAAUAAAGGUUUAACUGAC